GUUACAACAUGCAUUGCUAUAAAGCAACAUAUACCCAACGUAUACCUCUAACUUAUCCGACCAUAAUUCUCCACGAAUUACAUUCAAUGCAAUCUCACUAUGCACGAAGUCUCCAUCAAUUAAUUCCUUCGAACAGUCUAUAACUUUUUCUUGAAAAUGAAGCAACGAUAAACGGACUCCGUUUUAUGACAUUUUUCUCAAAUGACAAUUGACACCAAUUUCCAGAGAUAUCCACCUUUUUCGAUUACGCUAUCCUAAUCAAACUGUCACCGUUAUUUCUCCCCCACGACGUAGGCUCGUGUUUAGCGUUGCACGAUUGCAAAAUGCCAAUUAACUUCGUUCGCAAUUUCUUUUUUCCCUAGGUAGGACAACAAUGUGUUUUUUCGUAUUAUGCUAAUACCGUGCCUCCAAGUUAAUGUCGUCAUGUUGUAUCGAGCUAUAAACUACACGCUGGAAUCCUAGUUUACAUCAUUCCUGCGUGACGAACAAACACUGGAAUCUAUCGACUCUCGCGUGUUACGAGACGUUUAUUAUGCUCGAACCUUAAGCACCAGCCUAACACAGUGACAUCUUCUUUCAUCUCGAUGCAAGAGAACCACCUGCGGCAAGAUCCUGCAGAUCGCUCCGCAAGGACGAUGUCGUGUGUGUGGAAGAUUGUGAAAGAUUUCGUUCAAACUGUGCGUGAAGAUGCUCUUUAACGUUAGAAAAAUAUAAUUGGAUCGAAAAUGGCGGAAAGAAUGUCAUAAGGUUAACGAUGAUUUUCAAGGAAAAUAGAAUUGAAUUUGGGAAUGUAGAAAUUGAUUUGGAUGCGUCUUCGUGAUUUACUAUUUUAUAAAAAGGGUAAUUUAGAGGUAGGUUAUUACGAUUUUAUGCUAUUGCUUUUAGACAAAAUUUUGGACACUAUAUAAAUUAGAAAAUUUACAUUUGGGACAAAAUGUUCAAUGUUAAGAACUCAUUUGAAAAUACUAUUCUCUUAAAGAUACUUUCAGCGAUAUUUUAUACUAAAUUAGCUGUCAAUGAUACGAAUCGUACUUCAUUAUCACUUAUCACAUGUGAAAUGUAUAACUAGAUGAAACUAGAAUAAGAACAAUAAAUCAUUAAUAUUAUAUAUAGA